rnacentral:rRNA from 1 species
GGCACCUUCGGUGUCCGAGUUGUAAUUUGUAGAAGCAUCUUUUGGAUUGGUCCUUGCAUAUGUUCCUUGGAACAGGACAUCAUAGAGGGUGAGAAUCCCGUUCAUGGUGGGGAAUCCAAUUCUUUGUAAAGUGCUUUCGAAGAGUCGAGUUGUUUGGGAAUGCAGCUCUAAGUGGGUGGUAAAUUCCAUCUAAAGCUAAAUAUUGGCGAGAGACCGAUAGCGAACAAGUACAGUGAUGGAAAGAUGAAAAGAACUCCGAAAGGAGAGUGAAAAAGGACGUGAAAUUGUUGAAAGGGAAGUGCUUGAGAUCAGUCUUAAGGUUUAGUGAUCAGUCUUCCUUUUGGUUGGUGCACUCACUAUUUCUUAGGCCAACAUCAGUUUUGGCGGCAGGAUAAUGACAUUGGAAUGUGGCUCUUUCGGGAGUGUUAUAGCCUUUGUUGAUACUGCCUGCUUAGACUGAGGACUGCGCUUUUGCUAGGAUGUUGGCAUAAUGAUCUUA